rnacentral:rRNA from 1 species
UACGUAGGGUGCAAGCGUUAAUCGGAAUACUAGGGCGUGAACGUGCGCAGGCGGUGAUGUAAGACAGGUGUGAAAUCCCCGGGCUUAACCUGGGAACUGCAUUUGUGACUGCAUGGCUAGAGUGUGUCAGAGGGGGUAGAAUUCCACGUGUAGCAGUGAGAUGCGUAGAUAUGUGGAGGAACACCGAUGGCGAAGGCAGCCCCCUGGGUUAACACUGACGCUCAUGCACGAAAGCGUGGGGAGCAAACAGG